UGCUCCGGGCUACUUAGGACCUAUUCAUAUGCAGCCCCUACCUCUGAAAGCUGAAGGAAGGUAUUAAUGCAGGCUUUCUCUCUGAUAGAAAAUCCACCAACCAUAUAGGAUCAAUUUUUCCCUGGAAAAGCGGGCCCUUUCUUUUGAAAUACUUAAUAAAUAAGGUCUAGAUCCAAUGUUGAAGCCGAAUGCAAUGGCAUCAACAACUAGUGAACUUGUAUGGGUUGGAUCUCUUCUGACUGAAAUAGGUAUUUUGGUCACAGAACCCCAUGACAGAUGUUCUGUGAGAAUCAGAAUGCUAUCCACAUAGCCUCCAAGUCGGUCUUCUAUGAGAGAACAAAGCAUGUAGAAGUCGCCUUACUUACUUAGGUAGGGCAUUUUCUCGGGGAAAAGGUGAUUGCCGAAAUCAUCAGAACACUAACCAUUAGAAGUGAAGAUCAAUUGCCGAUCUCUUCACGAAAGGAUUGGUAAAGGCCCUCCUUUUUCUUCUCACUCGCAAACAAACAGGGAAUGAUCGAUAUCCAUUCUCCAGUUUGAAGGGUAACAUGUAGAAGUGAUUGUUUGAUUCUUCAGUCUAAUUCAAAAAUAACAAUAGAAAUCGAAUUGAUCUUAAGGGUUUUAGCCCUUCUUUUAUUAUUAAGGUUAGGGAGCUUUUCCUCUUUUGAGGAUGUAUUAAUAAUAGAGAAAUAUAUUCUAUCAAGUCAAUAGAAUGUUGCAUUUUUUUGCUUCACAACUUUUAGUUCUAGAUUUCGAUAGGGAUAACCACAUCAGUUCGAAAGAGAAGGGUACCGUGGAGGGAAGUUGUUCGAAAUAUAAAAGAAAGAAGAAAUCGGAAGCGAAUGUAGUCCCUGCUUUUUGAAUAGUGUCCUGCAGAAGGUCUUCCCCAUCUGAGUAGAUUAGGAAAAGAUCCAGUCUGCAUCGGAUUUCCAUUUCCUUCCCUUUCCUCAUGUUAGACCAAGUGAAAGAAGCGCCAUAGAGUGGGAGGUCAACCCAAUCACAAUCAGCAACGUGAUCCGCGAAAUCUUCAAUACCUCUUCUCUUAUUUUUGGCCAGUAAAGUAAGAACCCCUUUCAUAUUUGAUUGCAUAAGGCAUUCAUUUGACUUUCCACUAAUGCACCAAGGUAGGUUGGAAACGGUAUGGAUGAAUCUAAGCUCAAUAGGUCUUGCUUGUGAUAAACUGAUGCUGGAGCAUAGACUUAUGAGCCAUCCAUUCCAAGUUGUGGUCUAGGGAGUGUAUUCUAUAGUGAUGGUCUAGGUUCCAAUGUGAGUUGGGACAGCCAUAUUUUUUUUUUAUUUGUUUAAAUUAAUCCAAGAGCCACCAUCUCUACUUUUCGAAGGAACAUAGCAGCUGCCAGCAUCUUUUUAGAAUUUGGAUUUUUUUGCUUUUUUACAGAUGGAUGUAGUCCUCUUUGACUUGAGUUUCCUGGAGCAAAAUCAUAUAACCUUUUUCUUGGAUUUAAUGAAGUCCGAGACAGCCCUUUGCGAAGCUCGCCCAUUCAAAGCCCUAAAGUUCCAAGAGGCCACUAUCGUGAUUGAGAAUGAGCCGGGCGAGGGGGAGAGCCUUGAAUAAGGCAAUUCAUAUUUCUUUCUAAUUGAAUUGGUUUUGAUUCAUUCUUCUAUAUGUGUAAAAUGAUGAAAAUGCUUUCUUACUCGGAAGACAGCAAUCAAAAUGGGAAGAAUUUUCUCUCUUAUGUGAAAUUUCAUUAAAACCGGGAGAAAGCAUUCGAAAUCCUUAUUUUGAAGACUUUCCUUACGUUUCCCGAAUAAGCAUGAUAGAUCUCUUAUCUAUUGAAGAAGCUAAUAACAUCUAUGAAUUUAAUGAAAACCCUGCGCUUCUUAGCAGCAUCGGCAGAGACCUAAGGGAUUGUCAUUCUAUUCCCUUCGACAUGGGCCAUGAGAACGAAAUUUCUCCUUAUACCCCGCGAAAAGGAGUGGCGUUGACACCGGAAGAGGAGAGAUCUUUUAUGGGGAAGGCCUAGCCUACCUUACACUUUACUAAAAGCUUAGUAAGGAAGUCUUGACUGAUUUACCGUUCAGUCUAAUUCUCUAACAAAGGGGCAUAGGGGAUAAGAGGGAUCACUUUCAUAUCUCACUAUGGCAGCUAUGGGGCACGAAGGGUAUAAGAAGAAGUGACGGAGAAGUCGUUUACUGAUUAGUUGCUUGAACGUGGAAAGAUGUCGGCAUUUCUGCUCUUAGGUGAGUAUCCGCUCUUGCUGGUCUUGUUGGAAUAAGCGCUGCUAUUGAAGACGGUCUUAGAGAAGGAGCUGCUAAAGCAACUGCCAAAUCACUUUCCUGUUGAUGCUACAUAACCGCUCUUGUCGCGAAAAAAAACGUCUUAGGUUGCACUUAUUCUUUUCUUUCAGAACAGUUGUCAGGACAAAUGAAAGAAGAGGUUGUAGAUAGUCUAUUUGUUACUUGGCUUACUUCUUACUGAAUGCCGUACUUAGAGUUAUCCCACUCGGGGUGGGCUCUUAGCGAUUAGUCAGUCCGGGUCCAGCUAGUCUUGCACUUUCAGACCCGGUCCUUCCUGUUUUAUUAGCAUCAAACCCACUCAACAGGAUAUUCCAUAAGCACUCCGGAAGGUAUAGUGUGAAGGAAAGUAGGUCCCUUACAUGAGAGUUUGCGAACACGGGGGGCUUAUGCUCCUCUCAUAUGGAACAGGUUGGCCCCCAAAAGCCCCAAGGGAACGAGCGAAAGGGCUGCUUUCCGGAACAGCAGAUCGAGCAGCCUAUUAUUACAUUUCUGCCCCAACUAUUCCAAAAAGGGUCACAAAUGGGUCUAAUUCUGAGACAAAAGUCAUUUAACAUCCCUGAUUCGGAAACUGCUGCAGUGGGAACUCUACUUGCCCAUUCCUCCUUCCGAAGUGAAAGUUUUCAUUCUCCCCUUGGCCCAGUUGAAAAGCCUAACCCCAGGUGAAGUACCAGAUUCUGAAGUGAAAGUAAGGAAUAGCCCUGUCUGAUUCGUAAAGCUUUCGGAGAAGGAGGGGAGAUCCGCGGAGGUAGAAUUCUGAAUACGGGUACGAAGGGUCAUCCAGAAGCGCUGGAAGGGCUGGAGGAAGGGGACGAACCGCAUUGAUUGAGUUAUAUCCGGCAGGCUAACACCCACGUACCUAGAAAGGAAGGGGAAAGUCUUACCUUUUGGAAACAUAAGGCGCAUCAGAAAGGAAUCCGGAUAUAUUUAGAUAGCCAGAUUCACGAGCUGAGGACUAAGUCGAAGUGAAAGUCUGUGCCAUUGUUAGUGCCAAGACCCUAGAAUAGUGAACACCAAGUGAAGAGCCACCCUCCGGGAACGUCGAGAAGGGGGACGAACAGCUUUGAUUUGAAUCUGAUCUUGAAUACCAGGAAAGAGAAGGGGGCCUUUGCCUUGUAUAUGCUUAAACCCAUUACUCGGGGGAUAGAACCCGCUCCUCAAGAAAGAGUUCACUAACUCCGCUAGCAGACGCUUUUCAACAGCAGCCUAAUUCUCAUCUCCGUUCUAUCAAAGGCAUGAAGUGAAGGAGUUCUUUGUCGAUAGGGAAGAAGGGCAAGCAGUUGCUUUAAAUCGGAUGCAAGAUCCUACCUGUCCUCGAAUCGGGUAAGUAAGCACAAAGCCGGGUAAACUUAGGCUUAGUAAAGGAAGUUUCUUUCAUGAAUAGUUCGCCUUAAUAAGGCUUAAUAAGGUAGGGGUUGGAAACCAGCUUAGAAUUAGAACGGGAAGAAGCCGGCAAAGAAGAUUUCGCGGUCCUCUCAUCGAGAAAUGAGCUAGUUGGAGAUUGAGUGGGUUCUGGCCACUCCGACAGAGAAGGAAGAGAAAGGGAAGACGGUAUCAGAGCCAGGGAAGGGAAAGUAAGGUCAGUCGGGUAACUAAGGUCAAGAGUAGGAAAAGUCUUUGCUUGGGGCCAGGAGCGGUGAAAGUAGACGACUAGCUGGCUUCGCGUCCAAAGGAGUAGGUUCGCUGUUAAGCGAUAUGGGAGUAGGGAAUAGGCAAGAAAGAGGAUUAACCGAUCGGGCAAGGAUAACUCUACAGGUAGGCUGGACGGAUCCCAUCAUUCUAAGAAAGGAAGGCGAUGGAUGAGGUAGGUUAAAGCUUGAGUGCCAUUUAGUUUGUCUAGUCGGUGCAGUGCACUUUGAAAGAAGCUUUCCUUAACGAAGUCAUCCAUGUGACCAAUGCACGCUUCAAAGAAAGCAAAGAGGGAUGCUCACUAGCAGCUCAAGAGGAUUGAAGACCAAGGCAGGGCUCUUGUUGACAAAGAAGGUCUAAAAAGGAAAAUUCACGCAUUUGAAGGUAACCGCCCUACUAGUAUAGUAUAAAGACCUAUCGGACCUGUGAAAGUCUCGUUUUUGACUAAACUAAGAAAGACGGGCUUUGCUGCGACGAGGAUGCCUUUUUUAAUCAGCCAACGUCAAGACCUGCAACAGAGUCCUACCACGUUAAGGGAGAGCACCCAACUUGCUUGUUGACACGUGAGGGGAAAUAGGAGUCUGAGGUGGCAGGAUUGACCACUAAAGCCCUAUGGUAGUGAUGGUUGGUCCCACUACUCCUUCAAGUGCCUUUUGCGCUUAGCGUCGGAAAGAGGUUACAGCGAAGGUGCUAAAACCUAAAAUUCCAUUUAUUGAGGAUGGACGGCCUGGCAACUCCUGAAGGAGAACUAGGCAGGACGAUCUCCCGGAGCUCGAAAUUGUUGUGGUACGGCUAGGGGUAGACGCAAGUGUGAGGUACUGCAUUGGCAUUCGUGGCAGUCUUUCCCGGUAGCUGAGGAAGCCCCUUCUACUCUACAUUCUCAAAGCCCGUACCCGUACCGAAGAGACCAGACCUUGGGAAGGCAUCACUUAUGCUAGAAGGCUUCACAGUCCUCCUUACUAGCAGCCCAGAUCUGUUUUGUGCUCGGCUUGAUGCCAUCUCAGAUGUCCAUUCAAGUAGCCUGCCUACCCUAUUUUCUCUUAGAGAAGGGGCCUAGCGUGCCAAUGAUUUUGCUAGAACUACUGUGAUUUCCACUACUGCUACUUCUUUUGCUACCUUGCGGUAGUCUUACUGCUAAUGUCCUAAGGCCUAAGCGGGGGAAGGAAGAAGAAUAGCGUUCUAGUGCCCUAUUUGUCUAAUAAUUAUUCGAAAAUUCCCCCCAUUCAAUAAUUCGUAUUCGUAGCGUCCGAUUCCAUUCCUGACUAGCGGACAGAAAGAAUUCCUCCUGCUCUACGAUUAACUGUUCCGUUUAAGGGAAGUGAUGGGGACGACGAUGCUCGUGCAAGAUAAGAUGACGACUUUCAAACACGAGCCGUUCCCAUUUCAGACUACUCGACGGUGGACUUACUUCGUUCUUGAACCUGCGACUGAUAGCUCAAGCUCGCCAAUCAAUAAGAGACGGCUCUCUCUGGCUAGUUAACGAACUUCAAGUGAUCGAUCGGAUUCUACUUUGCCAGACGGAGACCGGCUUGACCCUAAGGUGGAAAGCUCUUUGGGCGCUGGUCAGGAAAGGAGCAAAUCCUACUAGCUGAAUACAGACCCAAUCCUCAUUCUUAAUGGUCAACUUUCUCCGAUCUGCGAUCCACUGGAAGAAUCAAUUCAUUUAUCUUCUCUUCUAUACUAUUUUUAGGGUAGGAACUGUAAAAGUAUCUCCUUCUCUAUCCCUAUCGUCUGUACUUAAAGUUCCUAGUUUUCCUACCUUUCUCUUUUUUUUUUUCUUCUAUACGAUAAAUCGCCAUCUCGUAGCACCACCACGACACCGAUUCUUGUUAUUUUUCCGAGCCCCCCAUGCCGUGACUUCGACUUUGAGUAUGAUGAAUGAGUGGAAAUCAUCACCGAUGAACUUUUCGAAAGAGUGUUGCAACGGCCUUUUAUCCCUUAAAUGACGAGGGGAUAGUUGCUAGUUGAUACAUUAGCCGCUUUCUACGGCGAGCGACAGGAAGGAUUCCACUCUUUAGUGGCAAAGAAAGUUCUUCCCAAAGAUGAGUUUCACGCCUUCUACUAUCUACAGGGAUAUGGUCUGUCUGGUCUUGCUUUUCGUCUGAAAUAGUAUCCUGUAAGCCGGGUCCCUGUUAGCUACUUGCUUUCCACCGUCAUUGGACUAGGCUUCCCGGAUCCCCUUUCUUCGGUGCUGACAAACUACUAGACGGUAAAGAAAGAUCCCCACUCAAUCAAUAUCCAUUAGCUGAGGACUUUCUCAAUGGGGAUGGUUUUCUUUCACAUGAGGCUUUCUGACUGGAGAAAGGAAUGUUACAUACGCUUUCGAAAUUUAUGAAGAGAAUCUUGCAGAUAUUUAUUCCAGUGCCAAUUCGGUUGGAGAUGUUUGUCCCAAUUCCGAAGAUUCCGAUUCGAUAGCAGCUACUUCUUCUUCUUUGACUUGCACCAGCAACGGACUUGAUUGAAUGUACCGUGUACCGACUGCUUCGCCUUUCGACUUUGACCAGCCGUGCCGCAACAAAGCCUCGACUUGAGAGCCAAUUUCGUGCUGAGAAAGCCAACCCUCCACAACUAGCCCGAUUCUUUACAGUCAGACCAGUUUUCUUCAUCGUUAGCUAAGAAGAUUUAUUCUCUUACUUAGAAAGAAAAAUGUAAAUUGAAAGAAGAAUUUCAAUUCCCCUCAAAGCCUUCUUUUCUUCCGAACUUCACAAGUGCUUCGAAUGCAUUUUUUACGAGAAAUCUUCGAUUAGGCUUAGUCGAGAAGGUUCAUUCCCACGACGAAUGGUUGGGUUUCCGCUCCUGUCGGGAUGAAUGGAAUGGGGCGGCAAGUAAACUACCAAUGCCUUGAGCGGGAUCGAGGUUGUUUUUUCCUUAUACAUCUGUUAUUUCUAGUAGAUUUAGUGGUAAAUGAGUUUGAUGACCGAGUAGGUGUAUCGAGAACAGCUUUCUCAGCCCCCUUGUGGGAGGGGUUUGAAUCUUCAAUGAAUGUGCUUGCUCUUCUGUCUCUUAGAUGGAUUCCAGCUUUCAAGCAUUCCCCUUGAGGCGGGAAAAGACCUUAAUCAUUUAACUGGGUAUUAGAACUCCUCCAUUUUAGUAGAAAUUCUUCCAAGAACGGAUUCUUCAACAUCUUGUUGAUUUGAUAAGAUCUGCUGCUGAUUUCAAUAGCCAAGUCAAGCUUUCCAGCAGGCGAGACAGAUGCCGAUUCUACCUCUGCCAACUCCCUCUUUAUAGCAGAAUUUUAUCCAUCAAUGGCAGCUCGAUUGCCAUGUGAAAGCUCUAAGUCAAGAAGCCAAUCCAGCAAGAAAGUCCGAAAGUCAUCAGGUACGCUUUCAUCAUCCUAAGCUACCUCACCGCACUAAGUCCAGUCUACGGGCCCUUAGCCCAAGGAUAGAGACAGGGCUAAUGCUUCGGUCAUACUAGAUUCUGACCCGAGGCUUACCGAACUACCUUUGGCGUAACUCCCUUUAGAGAGAGAAGGCCGCUCAAGCAGAAUCCGACUUUCGCUAAACAAGAGCUCUUUACAGCUAAGCUGAUCACAACUUCACAUUCAACAACAGCAAGAAGACGACUGACGCCCGCUGAAGGAAGGCUUUUCACAUUCUCCUUUCUAUGGAAUAUGGAGAAAAGAAGACAAAACCAAUCUCAAAUAGAAGCAAAGGAAGGACUAUCACCGGAUUCGUUCAAAAGAACAGAUGUCAGACUUCACUAAAUAAGUCUCUUUCUCCUUGCAGCGGGGGAGGUCUUCCAGAGCCUUACGUUACGAGGGCGCCCUAGAACCAGGACCCAAUCGAUAAAGAAAGGCUACUGAGCCACUGAGCUUCGUUCACUCCUCGGGUCGGGAGAAGGGGUGCUCUCCUAUCUUUUGAUUAGGAAAGCGCCACUUGUAGUAUGUUGACGCUAUCCAUCCUUUCAGCGCAUGCUACGUCUUUGUUGGUUAAUCCAAGCUUAUAUUCAUUUCUUAGGCCCCAAGCCGAGCUCUCACACGUUCCGAACAUGAGACUUCUGGAACCCGACGACCCAUCGUUCGUACCCGGCCACGGCUCUCACCUUGAUUCCUAUUUGGUUGAUGAAGGCGAAGUUGAUUCCCAUAUCCUUAAAAGGCGCUUUAUCUUCGACGUUCUAUUCUACUGUUAUAUAUGGAUUUCAAAUGGUCAAAGGGUCUCCUAACCUAAUAGAUCUCAUUCAUAGGUCUCACGGAAUUGAAUUCAACUUGUGCUGUUUUCCCUCUCUUGGAGUGGAGCUCUCAGUUGAUGAGAACUGGCCUUGUGCUUUCGCUCCAUCUCCCGUGACAUACCUUUGUCUUGAACCUGUUGUCUUUUACCAACUAAAACCACUAGUGGGUCAGCGGGUCUCUCGUCUAUGGAAUGGACAGCACCUAUACCCGAUUCCUAAACUCCAGCUCCCUGACCCACUCGAAACCAAGUUCGGUCUCCGCUAGCCAUUUUUGAACUUCCUCGCGCUCUCGCUCCCAGGCUGCGAGAUCCUCUUUUUAUUUCACUGAGGAUGCUCGCGCCAGGAGUUGGUCCAUCCGCCUCUCAAUGGACGCGAGGUUGUCGAGUAAGCGGUCUUUCUUUUCUUCGAGGUUUGCCCUCGGAACCCCAUUUUAACCCUGGGAAGGGCUACUAUUGAGGUCGUUGUCUCCCCCAGGGACAGAAGAUGGGAGAGAAUGUUCUGGUGCAUGGUGGGGAAUUCCCAACUUGCAGCGGGCGUCAGUGCCCCUCUCUCGAAUAGAGGAGUGAGAGCGGUAGGUGUAUAGAUUGCUUGAUAAACAGGGGCCCCACUGUGCUGGUAGACAAUGAUAGGGAAUUCUAAAUCUGCAGCAGGUAAUAAAAAUUCUUGGUCGAUUUGAGGAGCUACUGAUGUCACAGUAGAGUAGGUCGAUCCAGUUUCAUCUCCGGGGAGGAACUUUCUGCUUUACUGGCCUCUGCCUGCCAACGGUUAUCAUUGCUACUUCUGGUAAAUCUUCUUCGUUCUUCAAUUGCGAGCGGAGCCUGGCACUAGUAGGUGCGAUGGGGUACCAUGGAGCGAAUGCUCUCUGUGGGGUGCUGAUUACAUCCUUGGAUGGGUUCCAAAGCUUCUGAUCAAUGAGGUCUUGAAUCUUAUGCUUAAGGUCGUAGCAGUCGGAAGUAUAAUGGCCUGCUCCGUGCAUAUGGUAAUCACAUCGAGCAUUCGGAUUAUACCUUUUUGGCAGUGGAUUUGGCGGAGGCUUGAGUGGUACAGGGGAGAUGAGUCCUGCUGUGAUAAAGUCUGGAAGUCACUGUGAUUGUAAGAACGGCAGAGGAUCGAACUUUCUCGCCCCUUUUUUCUUGAUGGUGGGACGAGUUCGAGAUGGCCCUUGAGCUUGGUCUUCCGCUGAUGCGACAUCUUUCCUCUAUCUAAGCCAUUGCUUGGUGAGUUUUUGCUUGUUGUGAGCUACCAUGGCUACCUCGGGCGAAGCUUCUUCUUCUUCAAAACGCACUCGAACUCGGGCUCCACGAGGCGUGAUGAGCUGCGAUGAAUCGAACAUAACCUUCUGGCCAUUGACUGCAUUACUAGAUGGACCAGCAUUAUCAUUCCCAUGCGAGGGAAGCGGAUUCUGCAUCACACUCGGCUUCUCUUCCGGUGGUUCAAACUUAAGAAGUUCUUUGUCAAUUAAGAUCUUGCACCCGGUGUCUCAGAUUGUAACAUCUAUCAGUCCAGUGCUCUGCUCCUCCCAUGUGAUAUUCACGCCUGGUAUUAGGAUUAUGAUUCCUGGGAGGUGGAUCUGAUACUGGUCUGGGAGGUAUGGGUGUAACCAACUUGGCUUCCAGCAGCUGCGGAAGCAAUUGUGAUAAUGAUACAGGAAGAACGCGGAAUUUGGAGAUUAAGACCUUUAUUAGGAUAUGAAUAGCUUAUAUGCCAUUACCCUAUCACCCCCGCCGGGGGCAGAACGAACUCGAUAAGAUCAAGAUCCAUUGAAUCCCGGUGUAAUCAGUACGUAUGACUCUGUCCUCCCGCGAUGUACGCAUUGUAGGCGGUCAUCAUAAACAUCAGCAUCUUGUAAAUCCGCUACUGAUUCAAUCCAUCCAAUGACCAUGGACAGAUCGUCCGAUGAGAGAACCCUGAAGGAUUACUUGUUUUCAUAUGAAUGAGAGGUUCAUUGGUG
rnacentral:lncRNA from 1 species